rnacentral:rRNA from 1 species
UACGUAGGGUGCAAGCGUUAAUCGGAAUUACUGGGCGUAAAGCGUGCGCAGGCGGUGAUGUAAGACAGGUGUGAAAUCCCCGGGCUUAACCUGGGAACUGCAUUUGUGACUGUAUGACUAGAGUACGGUAGAGAGGGGUGGAAUUCCUGGUGUAGCGGUGGAAUGCGCAGAUAUCAGGAGGAACACCGAUGGCGAAGGCAGAUCUCUGGGCCGUAACUGACGCUGAGGAGCGAAAGCAUGGGGGAGCGAACAGG